rnacentral:misc_RNA from 1 species
AAGACUAUAGACCUGCGGAGUACCUGCGAAGGAUCAUUAUCGUAUUGUAACAAUUGGGGGGGCCACCGUGGGCUGUCGCUGACCCUUUGAAAGGGGGGUCGUGCACGCCCCCAUAGUGUCAUCCUCAUACAAUCCAACUCACCUCUGUGCAUCACCGCGUGGGUUCCUUUCUGGGUCGAGUCAGACUGGCUCAGAAAAAAGGGGCUUGCGUUUUCCAUACAAAUACCCUUAUAAAUCCAG